rnacentral:sRNA from 1 species
GCCAGGUGUGGUGUGCUGGCCAGCAGUCCCAGCAACCUGGGAGGCUGGGGCAGGAGGACUGCUUGAGCUCAGGAGCUGGAGUCCAGCCUGGGCAACACAGAGACCUCUGUCUCAA